rnacentral:lncRNA from 1 species
UUUUUUUUUACAAAAGUAGCACACACGAAACUGAAUAAAACGACCAAACAGGGCGGGUCCACUAAGUGUUUGAGAAGCCUAACAUGGGCUGCUGGUUACCCACGGAACAUGUAUUUUUUCAGUGGAACCCAUGGAACAUUUUUUUUAGUGGGAUCCACGGAACAUGUGCAACGUCAAAAUAUCGAGCAAUCACAGGCCGGCCCCCAACUAGGCCGGCCCAUAUAGGAACUUUACUGUAGCAAGCACUCCCACUUUUUUGUUCGGAUUUUUUGUUUUGUCUAUUUCCAUUGUUUUUUUAUCUUCUUCUGAUUUUCCAGAAAAGCACGAACAAUAUUAUUUUUAAAUAGUAAACUUUUCUUGAAAAAAAUUAUCGUUUUUUAAAUACACGAGCAUUUUUCAAAAUCCCGAACAAUUUUGAAUUUUUUGGAUUUUGUUUUUGAAGGAUCAAAAGAAAAACCCGAUAAAAGGAGUACAACAAAAAACUUGAAAAGAACCUUUCCAAAACAAAUCAAAAGACGAUACAGAGAUUUCUAGAAGGUCCCAAAAUCGGGAUCAUGUGGUUGGCCACGAGGCUAAAUGUGCUCGAUUGACGCGUUGAUCUUUUGUGAUUGCCAAAUCUUCGUCACACACAUCAACAAAUAGGAGAUCUCAUGUGAAAAGGUACUGAGUGAGCUCCUAGUCGGCAUCUUAUGCGCAGACCCGCUCACAUGGCCGGCCUACCAACGCUAGUUGCUGGCUCGCUCGGUCGUCCGCUCUUCGCUCGUUCGAUUGAUAGGUUAAUUGAUUGUCUUUUAUAAGUAAGUUCAUGAAAUUUUUAAAAAAUCACAGAAUUGUAAAAACAUUUUUAAAAAAUAUUCAAGAAUUAUAAAAACAUAUAUUUGAAAACAUGUUCAUGGAUUUAAAAUUGUUCAUGAUUUUUAAAAAAGUUCAUGAAUUUGAAAAAGUUCACGAAGUUGAAGAAGUUCGCGAACAGAACAGGAGGGCGCCCCAUCAAAGCAUUACCUUUUCUUUUCCAAAGACGGGGGCAUCCACGGGGGAGAGGGAUGACCAUGCGGGAGCACAAGACACGUGCAAUGGGGGAGGGGGAGGAAGACGAUGACGGGGAUGGGAUCCAAGCUGUAGAAAGUUUAAUCGUAGGGUCGCAUGGCGACCUGCGCUCUGCCCGUAAGAGUAUACUAGCAAAAGAGCCCCUGCAUUGCAACGGGAGAAGAAAAUACCGCAUGGCCCUAACCCAAUAACCAUGACUAACACCCCAAUAGGUCUUGCCGAGGCGUCUCUCUCGUGGUAUAAGAUGAGAAAUUUACUUUUUUCAUGAAAGAUUUUGCCGAGGCAUACAUCAACGGUUAUCGAAGUUUUUUUCGUCUCCAAUUUGGCUUUGAUGAGGUGUACAUUGCAAUCCGGGUCGGUGUCAGAACGAAAGAAGGAUUGAUCAUGCACUAUUGAUUAAGGUUGCACCCUAAAUAGCAUGUAAAAUAAUACCACUCAUAUUUUAUAGUUUUUCUAAUCAAAUUUCAUGUAUAACACGUCAAAAUUGCAGUUAGGGUGUAAAAGAUAUGGGUAUUUUAAAAAGGUAUUAUUUGUUCUAAAUGGAUUGCGAGUUAAUUGUAGAAACAACAUGUGGUUUUCUCCUAAAACGCAAAGAGCGAUUCGUUCCCGGUCACUUAAUGGUGGAGUGCGGUUUAUUUAUCAGAAAAGAGGGGAGGUUGUCUAUAAAACAGUUAUAAACGGUUCGUUUUUUCACUUAAAUGUGGAUGUCAGGUUAAUUACCUAAAAACAAAUGAGGCUUUUUGUAAAAAUGCGACGAUGAACGAGCAGAAACAAUCCGUACUGAUAUAAUGGUCGAUAUAUGUUUAAAUAUUUGAUGAAAGAUUACGUUGCUAGGAGAUUGUCUAUUAGAGCAUCUCAAGCAGACCCCGCAUCCCGCCCCGACCCGCAAAAUAACCGCCAAAAUGCGGGUCGGGGCGGUAAAACCUGCCCGAUCAGACACCGCAUUCGCGGCCGACCCGAAUUUUUUUUGCGGGGUGCGGCAAAACAUCUCCCCCGACCUCUAGAUUCACGGGCUAGGAGGACGACCCGAGCUCAGCCCCUAUCAUCCUCCGCCACCAUUGCCCCGCCACCGCACGCUCUGGUGCGGCUUCCCCGGCCGUCCUUCGCCGCCAUGGAUGUUGGGGAACGUAGUUUUUCAAAAAAAUUCCUACAAUCACGCAAGAUCUAUCUAGGAGAAGCAUAGCAACAAGCGGGAGAGCGUGUCUACGUACCUCGUAGACCAAAAGCGGAAGCGUUUAGUAACGCGGUUGAUGUAGUCAAACGUCUUCGCGGUCCAACCGAUCUAAGUACCGAACGUACGGCACCUCCGCGUUCAGCACACGUUCAGCUUGAUGACGUCCCUCGAGUUCUUGAUCCAGUUGAGGCCGAGGGAGAGUUCUGUCAGCACGAUGGCAUGGUGACGGUGAUGAUGAAGUUACCGGCGCAGGGCUUCACCUAAGCACUACGACGAUAUGACCGAGGUGUGUAACUGUGGAGGGAGGCACCACACACGGCUAAGAGAAACUUCUGUGUCCUUUGGGGUGCCCCCCUCCCACGUGUAUAAAGAGGGGAGGAGGAGGAGGCCGGCCUAGAGGGGGCACGCGCCAUGGGGAGUCCAACUAGGAUUCCCAAUCCUAGUUGGAAUCCCCUUCCAUCCAAGAGAGGGAGAAGGAGGGAAGGAGGAAGAGGGGAGAAGGAAAGAGGGGGCGCCGCCCCCCUCCCUAGUCCAAUUCGGAUUGGCCAUGGGGGGCGGCCUCCCUUGUGGCCCUCCUCUCCUUUCCAUUAGGGCCCAUGAAGGACCAUGAACUUCCCGGGGGGGGGUCCGGUAACCCCCGGUACUCCGAAACUUAUCCGAAAUGACCCGAACCAUUUCAGUAUCCGAAUGUAACCUUUCUACAUAUGAAUCUUUAUGUCUAGACCAUUUUGAGACUCUUCGUCAUGUCUGAGAUCUCAUCCGGGACUCCAAACAAACUUCGGUUCAUCAAAACACGAAACCCAUAAUACAAAUUGUCAUCGAAAGUUAAGCGUGCGAACCCUACGGGUUUGAAAACUAUGUAGACAAGACCAAGACAUAUAUCCGGUCAAUAACCAAUAGUGGAACCUGGAUGCUCAUAUUGGUUCCUACAUAUUCUACGAACAUCUUUAUCGGUCAAACCGCAUAACAACAUACGUUGUUCCCUUUGUCAUCGGUAUGUUACUUGCCCGAGAUUCGAUCAUCGGUAUCAUCAUACCUAGUUCAAUCUCGUCACUGACAAGUCUCUUUACUUAUUCCGUAAUGCAUCAUCCCGUGACUAACUCAUUAUUCACAUUGCUUGCAAGGCUCAUAGUGAUGUGCAUUACCGAGAGGGCCCAGAGAUACCUAUCUGAUACACGGAGUGACAAAUCCUAAUCUCGAUCUAUGCCAACUCAACAAACACCAUUGGAGACACCUGUAGAGCAUCUUUAUAAUCACCCAAUUACGUUGUGACGUUUGAUAGCACACAAUGUGCUCCUCCGGUAUUCGGGAGUUGCAUAAUCUCAUAGUCUGAGGAACAUGUAUAAGUCAUGAAGAAAGCAAUAGCAGAAAAACUAAACGAUCAUUAUGCUAAGCUAACGGAUGGGUCUUGUCCAUCACAUCAUUCUCUAAUGAUGUGAUCCCGUUCAUCAAAUGACAACACAUUUCUAUGGCUAGGAAACUUAACCAUCUUUGAUUAACGAGCUAGUUAAGUAGAGGCAUACUAGGGACACUCUGUUUCUCUAUGUAUCCACACAUGUACUAAGUUUCUGGUUAAUACAAUUCUAGAAUGAAUAAUAAACCUUUAUCAUGAUAUAAGGAAAUAUAAAUAACAACUUUAUUAUUGCCUCUAGGGCAUAUUUCCUUCAGUCUCCCACUUGCACUAGAGUCAAUAAUCUAUGUUACAUAGUAAUGAUUCUAACACCCAUGGAGUCUUGGUACUGAUCAUGUUUUGCUCGUGAGAGAGCCUUAGUCAAUGAGUCUGCAACAUUCAGAUCCGUAUGUAUCUUGCAAAUCUCUAUGUCUCCCUCCUUGACUUGAUCGCGGAUGGAAUUGAAGCGUCUCUUGAUGUGCUUGGUUCUCUUGUGAAAUCUGGAUUCCUUUUCCAAGGCAAUUGCCCCAGUAUUGUCACAAAAGAUUUUCAUUGGACCUGAUGCACUAGGUAUUACACCUAGAUCGGAUAUGAACUCCUUCAUUCAUACUCCUUCAUUUGCUGCUUCCGAAGCAGCUAUGUACUCUGCUUCACACGUAGAUCCCGCCACGACGCUCUGCUUGGAACUGCACCAACGGACAACUCCACCAUUUAAAUAAAUACAUAUCCGGUUUGCGACUUAGAGUCAUCCGGAUCAGUGUGAAAACUUGCAUUGACGUAACCGUUUACGGCGAGCUCUUUGUCACCUCCAUAAACGAGAAACAUAUCCUUAGUCCUUUUCAGGUAUUUCAGGAUGUUCUUGACCGCUGUCUAGUGAUCCACUCCUGGAUUACUUUGGUACCUCCCUACUAAAAUAAUAGCAAGGCACACAUCAGGUCUGGCACACAGCAUUGCAUACAUGAUAGAACCUAUGGUUGAGGCAUAGGGAACCCUUUCUUUGACUGAUCCAUUUUGAACUUCUUCAAAACUUUAUCAAGGUAUGUGCUUUGUGAAAGUCCAAUUAAGCGUCUUGAUCUAUCUCUAUAAAUCUUGAUGCCCAAUAUAUAAGAAGCUUCACUGAGGUUUUUCAUUGAAAAAUUCUUAUUCAAGUAUCAUUUUAUGACAUUCAGAAAUUCAGUAUCAUUUUCGAUCAACAAUAUGUAAUCCACAUAUAAUAUCGGAAAUGCUACAGAGAUCCCACUCACUUUCUUGUAAAUAUAGGCUUCUCCAAAAGUCUGUAUAAAACCAUAUGCUUUGACCACACUAUCAAAGCGUAUAUUCCAACUUCGAGAGGCUUGCACCAGUCCAUAAAUGGGUCACUGGAGCUUGCACACUUUGUUAGCACAUUUUGCAUCGACGAAACCUUCUGGUUGUAUCAUAUACAACUCUUCUUUAAGAUAUCCAUUAAGAAAUGCAGUUUUGACAUCCAUUUGCCAAAUUUCAUAAUAAUAAAAUGUGGCAAUUGCUAACAUGAUUUGGACAGACUUAAGCAUCGCUACAGGUGAGAAGGUCCCAUCGUAGUAAACUCCUUGAACUUGUCAAAAACCUUUUUGCAACAAGUCGAGCUUUGUAGAUAGUAACAUUACCGUCAGAGUCGGUCUUCUUCUUGAAGAUCCAUUUAUUCUCUAUUGCUUGCCGAUCAUCGCACAAGUCAUCCAAAGUCCAUACUUUGUUCUCAUACAUGGAUCCCAUCUCAGAUUUCAUGGCCUCAAGCCAUUUCAUGGAAUCUGGGCUCAUCAUCGCUUCCUCAUAGUUCGUAGGUUCGUCAUGGUCAAGUAACAUGACUUUUAGAACAGGAUUAUCGUACCACUCUGGUGCGGAUCUUACUCUGGUUGACCUACGAGGUUCGGUAGUAACUUGAUCAGAAGUUUCAUGAUCAUCAUCAUUAGCUUCCUCACUAAUUGGUGUAAGAAUCACUGGAACUGAUUUAUGUGAUGAACUACUUUCCAAUAAGGGAGAAGGUACAGUUACCUCAUCAAGUUCUACUUUCCUCCCACUCACUUCUUUCGAGAGAAACUCCUUCUCUAGAAAGGAUCCAUUCUUAGCAACGAAUAUCUUGCCUUCGGAUCUGUGAUUGAAGGUGUACCCAACAGUCUCCUUUGGGUAUCCUAUGAAGACACAUUUCUCCGAUUUGGGUUCGAGCUUAUCAGGUUGAAGCUUUUUUACAUAAGCAUCGCAGCCCCAAACUUUAAGAAACGACAACUUGUGUUUCUUGCCAAACCACAGUUCAUAUGGUGUCGUCUCAACGGAUUUCGAUGGUGCCCUAUUUAACGUGAAUGCAUCCGUCUCUAAAGCAUAACCCCAAAACAAUAGCGGGAAAUCAGUAAGAGACAUCAUAGAUCGCAUCAUAUCUAAUAAAGUGCGGUUACGACAUUUGGACACACUAUUACGCUGUGGUGUUCCAGGUGGCGUGAGUUGCGAAACUAUUCCACAUUGUUUCAAAUGAAGACCAAACUCAUAACUCAAAUAUUCACCUCCACGAUCAGAUCGUAGAAACUUUAUUUUCUUGUUACGAUGAUUUUCCACUUCACUCUGAAAUUCUUUAAACUUUUCAAAUGUUUCAGACUUAUGUUUCAUUAAGUAGAUAUACCCAUAUCUACUCAAAUCAUCUGUGAAGGUUAGAAAAUAAUGAUAUCCGCCGCGAGCAUCAACACUCAUCGGACCGCAUACAUAAGUAUGUAUUAUUUCCAAUAAGUCUGUUGCUCGCUCCAUUGUUCCGGAGAACAGAGUCUUAAUCAUCUUGCCCAUGAGGCAUGGUUCGCAAGCAACAAGUGAUUCAUAAUCAAGUGAUUCCAAAAGCCCAUCAACAUGGAGUUUCUUCAUGUGCUUUACAACAAUAUGACCUAAAUGGCAGUGCCACAAAUAAGUUGCACUAUCAUUAUUAAACUUGUGUCUUUUGGCUUCAAAACUAUGAAUAUGUGUAUCACUACUAUUGAGAUUCAAUAAAAAUAGACCACUCAUCAAGGGUGCGUGACAAUAAAAGAUAUUACUCAUAUAAAUAUAACAACCAUUAUUCUCUUAUUUGAAUUAAUAACCGUCUCGCAUCAAACAAGAGCCAGAUAUAAUGUUCAUGCUUAACGCUGGCACCAAAUAACAAUUAUUCAGGUCUAAAACUAAUCCCAAAGGUAGAUGUAGAGGUAGCGUGCCGACGGCGAUCACAUCGACUUUGGAACCAUUUCCCACGCGCAUCGUCACCUCGUCCUUAGACAAUCUUCAUUUAGUCUGUAGCCCCUGUUUCGAGUUGCAAAUAUGAGCAACAGAACCAGUAUCAAAUACCCAAGAGCUACUACGAGCAUUAGUAAGGUACACAUCAAUAACAUGUAUAUCAAAUAUACCUUUCACUUUGCCAUCCUUCUUAUCCGCCAAAUACUUGGGACAGUUCCGCUUCCAGUGACCAGUUCCUUUGCAGUAGAAGCACUCAGUCUCAGGCUUAGGUCCAGACUUGGGCUUCUUCACUUGAGUAGCAACUUGCUUGUCGUGCUUCUUAAAACUAGUGGUCUUGUUUACCAUCAACAUUUGAUGUUCCUUCUUGAUUCCUACCUCCGCGGCCUUUAGCAUUGCGAAAAGCUCGGGAAUUUUCUUAUCCAUCCCUUGCAUAUUAUAGUUCAACAUGAAGCUUUUGUAGCUUGGUGGCAGUGAUUGAAGAACUCUGUCAAUGACACUAUCAUCAGUAAGAUUAACUCCCAGUUGAGUCAAGUGGUUGUGGUACCCAUACAUUAUGAGUAUAUGUUCACUGAAGAACUAUUCUCCUCCAUUUUGCAGUUGUAGAACUUAUUGGAGACUUCAUAUCUCUCAAUCCGGGCAUUUGCUUGAAAUAUUAACUUCAACUCUUGGAACAUCUCAUAUGUUACAUGAUGUUCAAAACGUCGUUGAAGUCCUGAUUCUAAGACGUAAACCAUGGCACACUGAACUAUUGAGUAGUCAUCAGCUUUGCUCUGCCAGACGUUCAUAACAUCUGGAGUUGCUCCUACAGCGGGCUUUGCACCUAGCGGUGAACGUAGAGAUUAUCACACCCAAUCAUCAUGUGGUGUCUCGGCAUGACAAACUAUAGCAACGGUGCAUACUCAGGGAGAACACUUGUACCUUGAAAUUUAGUGAGAGAUCAUCUUAUAGUGCUACCGUCAAACUAAGCAAAAUAAGAUGCAUAAAGGAUAAACAUCACAUGCAAUCAAAAUAAGUGAUAUGAUAUGGCUAUCAUCAUCUUGUGCCUUUGAUCUCCAUCUCCAAAGCACCGUCAUGAUCACCAUCGCCACCGGCUUGACACCUUGAUCUCCAUCAUAGCAUCGUUGUCGUCUCACCAACUAUUGCUUCUCCGACUAUCGCUACUGCUUAGUGAUAAAGUAAAGCAAUUACAUGGCGAUUGCAUUUCAUACAAUAAAGCGACAACCAUAUGGCUCCUGCCAGUUACUGAUAACCAUUACAAAACAUUAUCAUCUCAUACAACAAUUUAUAUUAUCACGUCUUGACCAUAUCACAUCACAACAUGCCCUGCGAAAAUAAGUUAGACGUCCUCUACUUUGUUGUUGCAAGUUUUACGUGGCUGCUACGGGCUUCUAGCAAGAACCGUUCUUACCUACACAUCAAAACCACAACGAUUUUUCGUCAAGUGUGUUGUUUUAACCUUCAACAAGGACCGGGCGUAGUCAAACUCGAUUCAACUAAAGCUGGAGAAACAAACACCCGCUAGCCACCUGUGUGCGAAGCACGUUGGUAGAACCAGUCUCAUGAACGUGGUCAUGUAAUGUCGGUCCGGGCUGCUUCAUCCAACAAUACCGCCGAAUCAAAGUAAGACAUUGCUGGUAAGUAGUAUGCCUAUUAUCGCCCACAACUCAUUGUGUUCUACUUGUGCAUAUAACAUCUACGCAUAGACCUGGCUCGGAUGCCAUUGUUGGGGAACAUAGUAUUUCAAAUGAAUUCCUAUGAUCACGCAAGAUCUAUCUAGGAUAAGCAUAGCAACGACCGAAAGCGGAAGCAUUUAGUAACGCGGUUGAUGUGGUUGAACGUCUUCAUGAUCCAACCGAUCUAAGUACCGAACGUACGGCACCUCCGCGUUCAGCACACGUUCAGCUUGAUGACGUCCCUCGAGCUCUUGAUCCAAUUGAGUCCGAGGGAGAGUUCCGUCAGCACGACGGCGUGGUGACGGUGAUGAUGAAGUUACCGGCGCAGGGCUUCGCCUAAGCACUAUGACGAUAUGAAUGAGGUAUGUAACUAUGGAGGGGGGCACCGCAGACGGAUAAGAGAAACUUGUGUGUCCUUUGGGGUGCCCCCUCCCACGUAUAUAAAGCGGGGGGAGGAGGAGGCCGGCCUAGAGAGGGCCCGCGCCAUGGGGAGUCUAACUAGUAUUCCCAAUCCUAGUUGAAGUCCCCUUCCAUCCAACAGAGGGAGAAGGAGGGAAGGACAAAGAGGGGAGAAGGAAAGAGGGGGCGGCGCCCCCCUCCCUAGUCCAAUUUUGCUAUGGCCNNNNNNNNNNNNNNNNNNNNNNNNNNNNNNNNNNNNNNNNNNNNNNNNNNNNNNNNNNNNNNNNNNNNNNNNNNNNNNNNNNNNNNNNNNNNNNNNNNNNNNNNNNNNNNNNNNNNNNNNNNNNNNNNNNNNNNNNNNNNNNNNNNNNNNNNNNNNNNNNNNNNNNNNNNNNNNNNNNNNNNNNNNNNNNNNNNNNNNNNNNNNNNNNNNNNNNNNNNNNNNNNNNNNNNNNNNNNNNNNNNNNNNNNNNNNNNNNNNNNNNNNNNNNNNNNNNNNNNNNNNNNNNNNNNNNNUAACCCCUGGUACUUCGAAACUUAUUCGAAACGACCUGAACCAUUCCGGUGUCCGAAUGUAACCUUCCAAUAUAUGAAUCGUUAUGUCUCGACCAUUUUGAGACUCCUCGUCAUGUCUGUGAUCUCAUCCGGGACUCUGAACAAACUUAUAUUCAUCAAAACACGAAACUCAUAAUACAAAUUGUCAUCGAACGUUAAGCGUGCGGACCCUACAGGUUCGAGAACUAUGUAUACAUGACCGAGACAUAUCUACGGUCAAUAAACAAUAGUGGAACCUGGAUGCUCAUAUUGGUUCCUACAUAUUCUACGAAGAUCUUUAUCGGUCAAACCGCAUAACAACAUACGUUGUUCCCUUUGUCAUGAUAUGUUACUUGCCCGAGAUUCGAUCGUCAGUAUCAUCAUACCUAGUUCAAUCUCGUCACCAGCAAGUAUCUUUACUCGUUCUGUAAUGCAUCAUCCCGUGACUAACUCAUUAGUCACAUUGCUUGCAAGGCUCAUAGUGAUGUGCAUUACCGAGAGGGCCCAGAGAUACCUCUCUGAUACAUGGAGUGACAAAUCCUAAUCUCAAUCUAUGCCAACUCAACAAACACCAUUGGAUACACCUGUAGAGCAUCUUUAUAAUCACCCAGUUAUGUUGUGACGUUUGAUAGCAUGCAAGGCGUUCCUCCGGUAUUCGGGAGUUGCAUAAUCCCAUAGUCUGAGGAACAUGUAUAAGUCAUGAAGAAAGCAAUAGCAGAAAAACUAAACUAUCAUUAUGCUAAGCUAAUGGAUGGGUCUUGUCCAUCACAUCAUUCUCCAAUGAUCUGAUCGCGUUCAUCAAAUGACAACACAUGUCUAUGGCUAGGAAACUUAACCAUCUUUGAUUAACAAGCUAGUUAAGUAGAGGCAUACUAGGGACACUCUGUAUGUCUAUGUAUCCACACAUGUACUAAGUUUCCGAUUAAUACAAGCAUGAAUAAUAAACAUUUAUCAUGAUAUAAGGAAAUAUAAAUAACAACUUUAUUAUUGGCACUAGGGAGUAUUUACUUCAAUGGAUGACUCCCUGCUGUCCCCCGUCACUGUCGAGGUCGCGCACGCUCAAUCCCCUCGGGUAGAUCUCGUCACCGGCCAUGUUGGCCCCGUCGUGGCCCAAGGUACUGCCGCGCCUGCCCGCAAGCGGUAGGGCAACAUGGUCGUGCAAGGCGGGAAUCCGGCUGCGCCUGCCGCGAAGGCCCGCGCUCCGGGCGCCAACGCCGCUGCGUGGUCCUAGCCGACGGCGGAGAAGAUCGCCAAGGCCGCCGGCGUCAAGAGGAAGAGGAUUCCGACUACAAAGAAGCCGCCUCCUUCAUCCACUCCCUACGCCCCGGAAAUAGGUGCCCCAGCGAUGCCGCUCAAUGGUGCUGCUCCCCCCGCAAAUGAGGUGUUUGACGAAAUGACCGGAAGGUAUGCGUGUUCGGUCAUGGCAAUUUUCUUUGAUUUUCGCCAUUUUGCGAUAGCUCGUGACUUGUUGUCCUUCACUAUAGCGGUGGUUCGAACAAUGCAACUGCCGAGUUCAUGAACUUGUUGGACACCAACUGUUGGGGAACGUAGUAUUUCAAAAAUAAUCCUACGAUCACGCAAGAUCUAUUUAGGAGAAGCAUAGCAAUGAGCAGGGAGAGUGUGUCCACGUACCCUCGUAGACCGAAAGCAGAAGCGUUUAGUAAUGAGGUUGAUGUAGUCGAACGUCUUCGCGAUCCAACCGAUCCAAGUACCGAACGUACGACACCUCCGCGUUCAGCACAUUUCAGCUCGAUGACGUCCCUCGAGCUCUUGAUCCAGUUGAGGCCGAGGGAGAGUUUUGUCAGCACGACGACAUGGUGACGGUGAUGAUGAAGUUACCGGCGUAGGGCUUUGCCUAAGCACUAUGAUGAUAUGACCAAGGUGUGUAACUAUGGAGUGGAGCACCGCACACGGCCAAGAUAAACUUGUGUCUUUUGGGGUGCCCCUCCCACAUAUAUAAAGGGGGGAGGAGGAGGAGGAGGCCGGCCUAGAGGGGGCGCGCGCCAUGGGGAGUCCAACUAGGAUUCCCAAUCCUAGUUGGAGUCCCCUUCCAUCCAAGAGAGGGAGAAGGAGGGGAUAAGGAAAGAGGGGGCGCCGCCCCUCCCUAGUCCAAUUCGGACUAGCCAGGGGGGGGGCUCCCUUGUGGCCCUCCUCUCCCUUCCACUAGGUGAAGGAAAUAUGCCCUAGAGGCAAUAAUAAAGUUGUUAUUUAUAUUUCCUUAUAUCAUGAUAAAUGUUUAUUAUUCAUGCUAGAAUUGUAUUAACCGGAAACUUAGUACAUGUGUGAAUACAUAGGCAAACAGAGUGACACUAGUAUGCCUCUACUUGACUAGCUCGUUAAUCAAAUAUGGUUAAAUUUCCUAACCAUAGACAUGAGUUGUCAUUUGAUGAAUGGGAUCACAUCAUUAGAGAAUGAUGUGAUUGACAUGACCCAUCCAUUAGCUUAGCACUAUGAUCAUUUAGUUUAUUGCUAUUGAUUUCUCCAUAACUUAUACAUGUUCCUAUGAUUAUGAGGUUAUGCAACUCCCGAAUACCGGAGGAACACUUGGUGUGCUAUCAAAUGUCACAACAUAACUGGGUGACUAUAAAGAUGCUCUACAGGUGUCUCCGAUGCUGUUUGUUGAGUUGGCAUAGAUCAAGAUUAGGAUUUGUCACUCAGUGUAUCGGAGAGGUAUCUCUGGGCCCUCUCGGUAAUGCACAUCACUAUAAGCCUUGCAGGCAUUGUGACUAAUGAGUUAGUUGCAGGAUGAUGCAUUACGGAACGAGUAAAGAGACUUGCCGGUAAUGAGAUUGAACUAGGUAUUGAGAUACCGACGAUCGAAUCUCGGGCAAGUAACAUAUCGAUGACAAAGGGAACAACGUAUGUUGUUAUGCGGUUUGACCGAUAAAGAUCUUCGUAGAAUAUGUAGGAACCAAUAUGAGCAUCCAGGUUCCGCUAUUGGUUAUUGACCGGAGAUGAGUCUCGGUCAUUUCUACAUAGUUCUCGAACCCGUAGGGUCCUCACGCUUAACGUUCGAUGACGAUCGAUAUUAUGAGUUUAUGUGUUUUGAUGCACCGAAGGCAGUUCGGAGUCCCGGAUAUGAUCACGGACAUGACGAUGAGUCUCAAAAUGGUCGAGACAUAAAGAUCGAUAUAUUGGAAAGCUAUGUGUGGACACCGGAAUGGUUCCGGAUGAGUUCGGGCAUUUUCUGGAGUACCGGGAGGUUACCGGACCCCCCGAGGAGUCAAUGGGCCUUAUUGAUCCUUAGUGGAAGAGAGGAGGAGGCGGCCAGGUGGAGGCCCCCCCCCCAAGCCCAAUCCGAAUUGGGGAGGGGGCCUGGCCCCCCUUUCCUUCUCUCCCUCUCCCUCUUCCUUCUUCUCCUACUCCAACUAGGAAGGGGGGAAACCUACUCCUACUGGGAGUAGGACUCCCAGGGCUCUAUGAGGGUCGGCCCUCUCCUCCCCCUUUUAUAUACGGUGGAGGGGGCACCCCGUAGACACACAAGGUUAUUGUUCAGCCGUGUGCGGUGCCCCCUCCAUAGAAUUCCACCUCGAUCGUAUCGUUGUAGUGCUUAGGCGAAGCCCUGCGUCGGUAACUUCAUCAUCACUAUCAUCAUGUCGUCGUGCUGACGAAACCCUCCCUCGGCCUCAACUGGAUCAAGAGUACGAGGAACUUCACCGAGCUAAAUGUGUGCAGAUCACGGAGGUGUCGUGCGUUCAGUACUUGAUCGGUUGGAUCACGAAGACGUUCGACUACAUCAACCGUGUUUCAUAACGCUUCCGCUUUCGGUCUACGAGGGUACAUAGACAUACUCUCCCCCUCUCGUUGCUAUGCAUAUCUUAUAUAGAUCUUGCGUGAAGGCCCAUGAAGGCCCAUGAACUUCCCGGGGGGGGGGGGGUCCGGUAACCCCCAGUACUCCGAAACUUAUCCGAAAUGACCUGAACCAUUCCGGUGUCCGAAUGUAACCUUCCAAUAUAUGAAUCUUUAUGUCUCGACCAUUUCGAGACUCCUCGUCAUGUCCGUGAUCUAAUCCGGGACUCCGGACAAACUUCGAUUCAUCAAAACACGGAACUCAUAAUACAAAUCGUCAUCGAACGUUAAGUGCUACCUCUUGAGCACUGCGUUGGUUUUCCCUUGAAGAGGAAAGAGUGAUGCAGUAAAGCAGCAUAAGUAUUUCCCUCAGUUUUUGAGAACCAAGGUAUCAAUCCAGUAGGAGACCACGCGCGAUUAACCUCAUACCUACACAAACAAAUAAGAACCUCGCAACCAACGCGAUAAAGGGGUUGUCAAUCCCUUCACGGCCACUUGCAAGAGUGAGAUCUGAUAGAGAUAAUAAAAUAUUUUUGGUAUUUUUAUGAUAUAGAUUGAAAGUAAAGAUUGCAAAAUAAAAUAGAUUGGAAACUUGUAUGAUGGAAAAUAGACCCGAGGGCCAUAGGUUUCACUAGUGGCUUCUCUCAAGAUAGCAUAAGUAUUACGGUGGGUGAACAAAUUACUGUCGAGCAAUUGAUAGAAAAGCGAAUAAUUAUGAGAAUAUCUAGGCAUGAUCAUGUAUAUAGGCAUCACGUCCGAGACAAGUAGACCGACUCCAACCUGCAUCUACUACUAUUACUCCACAUAUCGACCACUGUCCAGCAUGCAUCUAGAGUAUUAAGUUCAUAAGAACAGAGUAACGCCUUAAGCAAGAUGACAUGAUGUAGAGGGAUAAACUCAUGCAAUAUGAUAUAAACCCCAUCUUUUUAUACUCGAUGGCAACACUACAUUAUGUGUCGUUUCCCCUACUGUCACUGGGAUCGAGCACCGCAAGAUUGAACCCAAAGCUAAACACUUCUCCCAUUGCAAGAAAGAUCAAUCUAGUAGGCCAAACCAAAUUGAUAAUUUAAAGAGAUUUGCAAAUAUAAACCAAUGAUACAUAAAAGAAUUCAAAGAAGAAUCAAAUAUUGUUCAUAGAUAAUCUGGAUCAUAAACCCACAAUUCAUCGGAUCUCGACAAACACACCGCAAAAGAAGAUUACAUCGAAUAGAUCUCCAAGAGAAUCGAGGAGAACUUUGUAUUGAGAUCCAAAGAGAGAGAAUAAGCCAUCUAGCUACUAUCUAUGGACCCGAAGGUCUGAAGUAAACUACUCACACAUCACCGGAGAGGCCAUGGAGUUGAUGUAGAGGCCCUCCGUGAUCAAUGCCCCCUCCCGCGGAGCUCCGGGAAAGGCCCCAAGAUGGGAUCUCUUGGGUACAGAAGGUUGCGGCGGUGGACUUAGGUUUUCUUGGUACUCCUGGAUGUUUGUGGGGUACAUGGACUUAUAUAGGAGGAAGAAGUAGGUCGGUGGAGCAACAAGGGGCCCAUGAGGGUGGAGGGCACGCCCAGGGGGUAGGCGCGCCCCCUGCCUCGUGGCCUCCUCGAUUGUUUCUUGACGCCCACUCCAAGUCUUCUGGAUCAUGUUUGUUGAGAAAAUCACGUUCCCGAAGGUUUCAUUCCGUUUGGACUUCGUUUGAUAUUCCUUUUCUGUGAAACACUGAAAUAGGCAAAAAACAACAAUUUGGGUUGGGCCUCCGGUUAAUAGGUUAGUCCCAAAAAUGAUAUAAAAGUGUGAAAUAAAGCCGGUUAACAUCCAAAAUAGAUAAUAUAAUAGCAUGGAGCAAUCAAAAAUUAUAGACACGUUGGAGACGUAUCAAGCAUCCCCAAGCUUAAUUCCUGCUCGUCCUCGAGUAGGUAAAUGAUAAAAAAGAAUUUUUGAUGUGGAAUGCUUUCUAACAUAUUUCUUAAUGUAAUUUUUCUUUAUUGUGGCAUGAAUAUUCAGAUCCGAAAGAUUCAAGAUAAAAGUUUAAUAUUGACAAAAAUAAUAAUACUUCAAGUAUACUAACUAAGCAAUCAUGUCUUCUCAAAAUAACAUGGCCAAAGAAAGUUAUCCCUACAAAAUCAUAUAGUCUGGCUAUGCUCUAUCUUCACCACACAAAAUAUUUAAAUCAUGCACAACCCCGAUGACAAUCCAAGCAAUUGUUUCAUACUUUUGAUGUUCUCAAACUUUUUCAAUCUUCACGCAAUAUAUGAGCGUGAACCAUGGAUAUAGCACUAUAUGUGGAAUAGAAUGGUGGUUGUGGAGAAUACAAAAAGGGGAAGAUAGUCUCACAUCAACUAGGCGUAUCAACGGGCUAUGGGGAUGCCCAUCAAUAGAUAUCAAUGUGAGUGAGUAGGGAUUGCCAUGCAACGGAUGCACUAGAGCUAUAAGUGUAUGAAAUCUCAACAAAAGAACUAAGUGGGUGUGCAUACAACUUGUUUGCUCAUGAAGACCUAGGGCAAUUUUGAGGAAGCCCAUCAUUGGAAUAUACAAGCCAAGUUCUAUAAUGUAAAAUUCCCACUAGUAUAUAAAAGUGAUAACAUGGGAGACUCUCUAUCAUGAAGAACAAGGUGCUACUUUGAAGCACAAGUGUGGAAAAAGGAUAGUAACAUUGUCCCUUCUCUCAUUUCUCUCAUUUUUUUAUUUGGCCUUCCUUUUUUUUCUUUUUGGCCUUUGUUCCUUUUUUUGUCCGGAGUCUCAUCCCGACUUGUGGGGGAAUCAUAGUCUCCAUCAUCCUUUUCUCACUAGGACAAUGCUCUAAUAAUGAUGAUCAUCACAAUUUAAUUUACUUACAACUCAAUACUUAGAAUAGAAUAUGACUCUAUGUGAAUGCCUCCGGCGGUGUACCGGGAUGUGUAAUGAUGCACGAGUGACAUGUAUGGAAUUAUGAACGGUGGCUUUGCCACAAAUAAGAUGUCAACUACAUGAUCAUGCAAGCAAUAUGAAAAUGAUGAAGCGUGUCAUAAUAACGGAGCAAUGGAAAUUUGCAUGGCAAUAUAUCUCGGAAUGGCUAUGGAAAUGCCAUAAUAGGUAGGUGAGGGAGUCCUGGAUUAGGGGGUCUCCGGAUAGCCGGACAAUAUCCUUUGGCCGGACUGUUGGACUAUGAAGAUACAAGAUUGAAGACUUCGUCCCGUGUCCGGAUGGGACUCUCCUUGGCAUGGAAGGCAAGCUUGGCAAUACAGAUAUGUAGAUCUCCUCCCUUGUAACCAACUCUGUGUAACCCUAGCCCCCUCCGGUGUCUAUAUAAACCGGAUGGUUUAAUCCGUAGGACAACAACAAUCAUAUCAUAGGCUAGCGUCUAGGGUUUAGCCUCUACGAUCUCGUGGUAGAUCAACUCUUGUAAUACUCAUAUCAUCAAGAUCAAUCAAGCAGGAAGUAGGGUAUUACCUCCAUCGAGAGGGCCCGAACCUGGGUAACAUCGUGUCCCCCGCCUCCUAUUACCAUCCACCUUAGACGCAUAGUUCGGGACCCCCUACCCGAGAUCUGCCGGUUUUGACACCGACAUUGGUGCUUUCAUUGAGAGUUCCACUGUGCCGUCACCGUAAGGCUUGAUGGCACCUUCGAUCAUCCGUAACGAUUCGGUAGGGUGAGGUUUUCCUCCUCGAACAGAUCUUCGUAUUCGGCGGCUUCGCAAUGCGGGCCAACUCGCUUGGCCAUCUGGAGCAGAUCGAGAGCUACGCCCCUGGCCAUCAGGUCAGGUUCGGAAACUUAAACUACACUGCCGACAUCCGCGGAGACUUGAUCUUCAACGGAUUCGAUCCCAGGUCAGGUGCGCCGCACAAUCACGACAACCAUCACGUAACUCUACCGUCGGACAGUGUUCGGGAGAUCACACCUGCAACUACUCCGGCCCUCAAUCCGGAGCAAAUUGCGCCAUCCGAGGAUGGGGGGAUAGACCCCAUCAUGGAGGCCACACUCUCAGUGGCAAUGGAGCCGGAUACUGACUUCACCCCUUACAAGAGCCGUGUUGCCGAACCACUGGAUUUGUCUCCGGCCACGGACUCCGAGCCGCCUGCGUCCGUGCCUAUCGAAUGUGAUUGGGCGCCGAUCAUGGAGUUCACCUCCGCGGAUAUCUUUCAGCACUCACCUUUCGGCGACAUGCUAAAUUCAUUAAGGUCUCUCUCCUUGUCAGGAGAUCCUUGGCCAAACUAUGUCCGGCUAGAAUGGGAUGCGGACGACGAAGAAAUUCGUUGCCCACCCACCACCCACUUAGUAGCCUCUAUCGACGAUUUAACCGACAUGCUCGAUUUCGACUCCGAAGACAUCGAUGGCAUGGACGACGAUGCAGGAGAGGAACAGGAACCAGUGCCCACAGGGCGCUGGACAGCCACUUCACCACAUGACAUAUACAUGGUGGAUACACCCAAAGAAAACAAUGAUGAAGAACGGCAGGAUGCAACGAAGUAUAGCUCCCUCGAGAAGCAAGCAAAGCGUCGGCAUAGGUGCCGCUCAAAAUCUCGCCUCGGCAAAAACAACGAUAACAACACAAGAGAAAAUAACACUCCAGUCGACUCCAGAGGAAACGACGACCACAUUGACCCAGCGGUAGAGCACGAUGAAACUGCAAACGGCGAACAUAGUACGGAUCCGAUGUACGAACACGGCGAUGCCAAGGAUAAACCUCAUCAACCCCCCCUCUGGGGAGGAAAACAGUCCGGACAAAGAUGCACACAUCAUCCCGGAAAGGCACUUGGAACAAGAGAACCUCCGCAGAAGGCUUAUUGCCACAGGGAGGAGUAUGAAGAAGCAGAAGCAAAGGCUUAAGGCCACACAAAAUAUGCUCAACAGCAGGUGGAACAAAGUGAUCGACAACGAAGAGAAGUAUGGUGGAAGUUACCACACAAAGAGCUAUACAAAGCGCAAGUUAUAACCUGAAUUCGACGAUGAGGCCUUAGAGCCCACACAGCCGAAAAUAAAAUGGCCAACCAGCCGGAUCAACCACCUUGUGGCCGCGAUAGAGAGGCUAACAAGGCCGCACAUAAGUCAACAGACGAUCUACAUGAGGACUUGCGCCAAAAAUCUAGUAUGACCAGAUCCAUCUAUGGAUCUAGGAAGCACGCUCCGGCACAAAAUCAAAACAGAAUACUACAACCAUCCGAACGCCAUGGUACAUCCAAAUACAGGGGUGGCGCACACCCCCUAUGUUUCACCGAUGAGGUGCUGGACCGUGAAUUUCCAGAAGGAUUCAAACUAGUGAACAUGGAGGCGUAUGACGGGACCACAGACCCUGGGGUCUGGAUUGAGGACUUUAUCCUCCAUAUCCAUAUGGCUCGCGGAGACGAUCUCCACGCCAUCAAGUGCUUGCCCCUCAAGCUUAAAGGACCAGCUCGGCACUGGCUGAAAAGCCUCCCCGAAAACGCAAUUGGAAGUUGGGAGGAGCUCGAGGAUGCUUUUCGGGCUAAUUUUCAAGGGACCUAUGUCCGACCUCCAGAUGCAGACGAUUUAAGUCAUAUAAUUCAACAACCCGGAGAGUCAGCCCGAAAGCUUUGGAACAGGUUUCUCACUAAGAAGAACCAAAUUGUCGACUACCCAGAUGCCGAAGCCUUGGCAGCUUUCAAGCACAGCGUCCGAGACGAAUGGCUCGCCAGACACCUCGGCCAAGAAAAACUGAGAACAAUGGCAGUCCUGAUAAGCCUCAUGACCCGCCUUUGCGCGAGCGAAGAUAGCUGGUUAGCCCGCGGUAGCACCAGCGACCCAAGCACAUCCAAAGUCAGGGAUGGCAAUGGAAAACCAUGACGCAGUAAAAGCAAGCGUCGAAAUAAAGAAGACAGCCCGGAUAAUACGGUGAUAAACGCUGGAUUCAGGGGCUCUCGACCAGGUCAGUAGAAAAAGUCUUUCAAAGGCAGCAGAGAUGGACCGUCCAGCCUAAACAAGAUUCUAGACAAACUAUGUCAGAUUCAUGGCACCCCCGAUAAACCUGCAAAUCACACCCACAGAGAAUGUUGGGUCUUCAAGCAUGCCGGUAAGCUAAACGCCGAACACAAGGGGAGGAAGACACCAAGCGGAGACGAGGACGAACCUCGCCAGCAAAGCACUGGAGGACAGAAAAAAAUUCCCACCAGAGGUUAAAACAGUACAUAUGAUCCACGUGACGAAGAGAAGCAAACAUGCACUCCGAGACAUACGCGCCGUAGAGCCCGUCACCCCUAAGUUCAACCCCUGGUUGGCCUGCCCGAUCACUUUUGAUCGCAGGGAUCACCCGACAAGCAUCCGCCAUGAAGGAUUGGCUGCCUUGGUGUUAGACCCAAUAAUAAACAGAUACCAUCUCACACGAGUCCUUAUGGACGGCGGUAGUGGUCUAAAUCUGAUAUAUCAGGACACAGUCCGCAAAAUGGGGAUAGACCCGACAAAACUCAGCCACAGUAAUACUACCUUCAAGGGAGUAAUACCAGGCCCAGAGGCCCGCUCCACGGGCUCUCUAAUACUAGAGGUUGUAUUCGGUUCACCCGACAACUACCGAAGUGAGAAGUUAGACUUCGACAUUGCUCCAUUCCGAAGCGGCUAUCAAGCACUACUCGGAAGAACAACUUUCGCUCAUUUUAAUGCGGUACCACAUUACACUUCUCUUAAGCUUAAGAUGCCUGGUCCAUGUGGCACCAUCACAGUUAGUGGAAACAUUGAGUGUUCUCUACGCGCGGAAGAACGUGCGGUGGCUUUAACAGCCGAGCACUAGACGGCCUCACCAACCAGAAUAAAUGACAGGUCGUCAAGACCGCGGACACGGUUAGACGAGUCCGGCACAUCACUAGAUAUACCUGAGAUUGGUUUGAUGGUUAAACCCUCAUAGACGGUACCAGGGGCUUCCCGCGUGUAAUCAGGGCUAGUUCGGCUCAACUUGACUUAUCUUGAAUUUUAAUGGUUUAUCGAGAAUAACCAAUUUUUUGGCAUGACAACUUUCACCUAAGUUCUUCUCUUUUACAGAUGACAAUCGUGCUACACCCAUCCAGGACACGGCACAACGGAGAUACAGGCGCAGACGUGCAGCAGGGACCCGCUCAAAGGUUUCUUUUUAGAUUAAGACCUUGCGUAAACCUUUUUUUAUUGUCUCUUGUUGUUCACAUCCUACGGAUACUCAAUACAACCGAGAAGGAUGCUGACGUUAUUGGCAUUUCACCACGUCAGAAUAUUACACGUACCUGGAUACUCGGGGUUUACUAUUAAGGGCAUUGUUCAGCCCAACAUAUGUUAUAAAGACCGAAUACCUUAGGGAGUGUUCGGCGUCGCGAGUUUGGCCUUAUAUGCAUCAGCUCCGAAUCAUGUCUUUGGUCAAAUGUUGGGUUUGCCCGGCUCCCGUGUUUUGCUACCUUACGUUCUGCUCUAUCGGCUAAGGCAGCACCGGGAGAACUACUGCGAUUGUUCCCUGGUUCAUCCGGAUGAGCACCUCAGUAGAGAAAGCCGAAAACUGACUGUCAUGAUAAAGCGCGAGACUGGUCAACCGCUCGAUGACUUCGUGGAAUUUUCGGGAUUCCUCCGCAUUAACGAAGGGCCGUUUCCUGGUCAUGUACGUACACGCACCGUAUUCGGACGAGCGCGGAGGUACCAUGGGCUAUAUAGUAGCGCCACCGUCAAACUCCUAUGGCUAAGUGAAAGUGUUAAAUCAAUAUAGUCCGAUUGCCUCAUUCGCUGCGCUAUCACCUCCUUAAUGGACCAAGACGUUGGAUCAAGUGUGAAUACGCAUUUUUUGCGAACACCCCUGCAUUAUAUGCGUGGGGGCUGAAGCCGACGACUGCAAACUUUCAGGUUAUAUACAUAUAUACAUAAACGGCCGCACAAGAGGCAUCAUAAUACUUUAAGGCGAAAGUAUAAACACAGCCUUUAUAAUUCAAUAAAACAUUGUUUUUACAAUGGGAAUACAUGUCACUAGAACAUAAUAUUCUUUGAGCACUGAGCCUCUAUUGAACGAGCGCCUUCAAGGACUUCUUCAAAGUAGUGCUCGGCAGAUACUCGGCCUAUGGCCAAACUCUGGGUUGCAAUAGUGGUGGCCUCCAUCUCUGCCCAGUAUGUCUUGACACGGGCAAGUGCCAUACGCGCACCCUCUAUGCACGCCGACCUCUUCAUAGCGUCGAUGUGCGGCACAACACCAAGGAACUGUUGCACUAAACUAAAAUAACUAUUCGGCCUUGGCCCUUCCAGCCAUAGAUGAUCCACAACAGACCUCAUGGCAAGCCCGGACAACCUAUGGAGCUCGGCCCACUCGGACAUUCGCUCAUUCAACAGCAGCGGACACACUGGAACAUGGAACUGUGACCAGAAUAGCCUUUCCACUUCACGAUCUUUUUGAUCCUUGAAGUACUCAGACGCAUCAGCAACACUGGCUGCCAAAUCCACGUAUGCGUCUGCAGAACUCCAUAGUUUAUCAAGAGGGGCAUACUUCGGAUCUCCGAACUUCGUACGCAACAAAAAGGGCUUCCCAGCCGCGAUAUCUCCAGCUUGACGUAGCUCCUCCUUCGCCGCUCUGAUUUUAGAGCGGGCUUCCUUGGCUACUACCAUGGCCUUCUCCAGGUCCGUCGCCUUCGCUCGGCUUUCUUUUUCAAGAAGCUGGUAAAGGUCGGCGACAUCUUUCAACUCAACGGCCAUCUUGGCUAUUUUUUCCUUGCUUUGGCAAUGCGCAGCCUGUUCGGCCCUCAGCUCUUCGACCGCCUUUAGAGCGGCUGCAUCACUAUUCCUGGCUUGUUCCUUGGCUCGGGCAAGUUCCGCCCGAAGGGUCUCCACGGCGGCAGCUCCAUAUGUAGUCACAACAUAUUAAAGAUACUAGCAUCAUGCUCCUCUUACUAUGUGUUGAUCACCGGAGAAAUCACAUACCUUGUGCCUCGUCGAGCCGCUUGUUGACAAGCACGAUGUCGGCAUCUGCCACAUCAAGUUGCCGCUUCAUCUCGGCAAACUCACCAGUCUGGCUAGCCACCGGACCUUCAGCCACCUACACAUGAAGGCGGCCUGAUUAUUACCUGGGACUAUGAUCCUAUGUUUGCCGCCAUUCUCAACGGCAACCAGAGUCUCAGGGGCUACUAUCUGCAUAGGGCACACCUAGCGUGUGCGGUACUGUCAAAGCCUUUCAGCAGACUCAUAAAAGCUUCAUGCAACCCAUUUUCAGCGGAUGAAAUCCUCUGAACCACCGUACCCAUUAGCAUAUGAUGCGCUUCUGAGAUAGCCGCUUGCUCCAGAAGAUCCUUUAGUGCGUCCGAUCGCACACCAGAUGGUUCCGGACUCUUUCUGUUGCUCUCUUUAGGAGCUGAAUACUGAGGACUUCGGGUGGCCGAAGAAUUACCUCUGGCCUCGGCGAAUCAGGAGAAAUCCUCCGUGACGACACCUCAGGGUCGCCCGCAUCAUGAGGCGGGGAGGCAUGGGGAGGUGUUUCGCUCCAUCAUCUCCGGAAGAAGAUCCCCCGAAGACGAACUCUGUCGAGAAGGGCUACGAUCCGAACUACAAGAUAUAUGCUUCGGUUAUUGUCCUCAGAAGUAAAGCAGGACAUUUUUAUUAUUUAGUGCCUUUUGUUUACUUACAGCUCGGUGGAGGGCUGGCCCCCUCGCGGGCACUGUGCGGCAAGGGUACCUUCCGAGGCAGGACCCUCUGGCGAAGAUUUCUUCCCCCGUUUGGAAACCUUUGUUUCCGGGUCUUCAGAGGUGGUCCUCUUCCUUCCUUGGGGAGAGGGAAUUUCAGACUCUUCUCCCCGAUUACCCUCCUUCACGGAGGUGCUAAUUCCCCUGGUUUGGAUGAAUAAUGCGUGAGGCCCGCUUUCAGCCUCUUUAUUCCCCCCCUUUAUCUUCCCCUGAGGGCGCCUGAUAAGGCGCCGGCUCGAGCAUUCUGGCCAGUACUGGAUCUGCUUAGCCUUCGGGAAGGGGGGCUGAACACCUAAUCAUCUUCGCCUUUAUUACCCAGUCCUGGUCAAAGAGCGACCUUUCAGAAUGAUGUUGUGAUAAAUAAAAAAACAAUGCGUUCGGCCACGGGAUUACUUACUUAGGUAUCUGGACGAUUGCAGCUCAGGCCCGCAUCCUCGGUGGUGUCCGGACACCUUAUUUGUGGUCUGAAGAACAAUUUGUACAUCUCUUCGAGCAUCAUGCCGAGGAAGUGCUGAAUAGUUCGCGAUCCUUCCAGGUUGAACUCCCACAUACGGAGGGGUCGACGUUUGCAAGGCGGGACUCGACGAACUAGCAUGACUUGCAUUACCGUGGCCAGGCUGACAUCUCUCUCGAGGAGAUCUCGGAUGCGACUCUGCAAUAUCGGCACAUCAUUUAAUGGCCCCCAGUCCAGCCCCUUAUUGAUCCAUGACAUCAGUUGUGGUGGGGGGCCCGAACGAAAGGCAGGGGCGGCUACCCACUUGGUACCCCGGGGAGUUGUGAUAUAAAACCACUCCCGUUGCCAUAAACUGGACACCUUUGGGAAGGAACCCUCUGGCCAUGGAACAUCAGCGUUGUUGCUUAUUAUGGAACCUCCGCACUCUGCGUGUCGCCCCUCGAUCAUCUUCAGCUUCACAUUGAAAGUCUUGAGCCACAGGCCGAAGUGUGGGGUAAUGUGGAGGAAGGCCUCACACACGACGAUGAACGAUGAGAUGCGAAGGAGGGAAUCCGGGGCCAGGUCAUGGAAAUCCAGCCCAUAAUAGAACAUGAGCCCCCUAACAAAGGGAUCCAGAGCGAGGCCUAGCCCUCGGAGGAAGUGAGAGAUGAAUACAACGCUCUUGCCAAGUUCGGGAGUGGGAAUGACCUGCCCUCGAGCAGGAAGCCUAUGCGAGAUUUCGCCGGUCAAAUACCUGGCCUCUCUUAGCUUCUUGAUGCCUUCCUCUGUGAUAGAGGAAGGCAUGCACCGACCUUGAAGGUUGGAUCCGGACAUGGUUGAAGGUCCGAAGUGCCUGACCCGAGCCUUGGGUGUUGGAACUCGAGGUGGGGGAAGGAUUCGAUUGAGUACGAGAGGGGAAAAAGGAUAGGCCUUGGCCUCUUUAUAAAGAGGGUGAAUAUCAAGCGUCCUCCUCGUGGCCGUUUGGGACUUGCCUAAAAUCGAGGAGUCAUACCAACGGGCGCGAUUGGGUUACCCACACCCGUAUUGAUGAGAAUCCCGUGAUAAGGGGACACAAUCUCUGCUUCGACAAGACGUGUCAAGAAAACUGCCUCGCGAUAUGUGCAGUGCUGGUUGAGAAAAACGGUUCGAAUAAUGACCGGGCCAUGACAUGAUGUCAUGUUGCUAAACGUGUCAGUAGAUUAGAUUUGUGGAAAUAUUAUUCUCUUUACGGUGGUAUGUGGAACUUAUUUUGCAGAGUCGGACACUAUCCUUGUGUUCAAGAUCUUCUAUGGAGUAUUCGGAGGAGGAACCCGCCUUGCAAUGCCGAAGACAAAUCUGUGCGCCGGACUCAUCGUCAUUAAAGUCUGGUUCAGGGGCUACUGAGGGAGUCCUGGAUUAGGGGGUCUCCAGACAGCUGGACUAUGUCCUUUGGCCGGACUGUUGGACUAUGAAGAUACAAGAUUGAAGACUUCAUCCUGUGUCCGGAUGGGACUCUCCUUGGCGUGGAAGGCAAGAUUGGCAAUACAGAUAUGUAGAUCUUCUCCCUUGUAACCGACUCUGUGUAACCCUAGCCCCCUCCGGUGUCUAUAUAAACCAGCGGGUUUAGUCCAUAGGACAACAACAAUCAUAUCAUAGGCUAGCUUCUAGGGUUUAGCCUCUACGAUCUUGUGGCAGAUCAACUCUUGUAAUACUCAUAUCAUCAAGUGUAACACCCCGGAUGUAAUUUACCUUAUCUCUACUCCAACUCUUGCCAUUUCCGGCACUAAGUUAUUUUAUUUCCUCGUUGUCGGGUUUUUGUCUUCGUGUGUUUUGUCUUUGUCAUGCUUCUCAUAUCAUGUCAUCAUGUGCAUUGCAUUUGCAUACGUGUUCGUCUCAUCAUCCGAGCAUUUUCCCCGUUGUCCGUUUUGCAUUCUGGCGCUCCUAUGUUCUUCGGUGGUCCUUUCUACCUCUUUUCGUGUGUGGGUAUUAAACGUUUUCGGAUUGGACAAAGUUUACUACCGGUAGACCGCCUGUAAAGUUUCGUACCAUUUGGACUUCGUUUGAUACUCUAACGGUUAACCGAGGGACCGAAAAGGCCUCGUGCGUGUUGCAGCCCAACACCCCUCCAAUUUGGCCCAAAACCCACCAAAGACCCCUCCAUCAUCUAGAGCGUUCGAUCACGAUCGCGUGGCCGAAAACCGUACCUCAUUUGGAGCUUCCUAGCUCCUCCUACCCCUAUAUAUAGAUCCCUACUUUCCAAAUCCGGGCGAAACCCUAAAAAUUUAGCUCCCCGGGCCGCCGGACACUUUUAAUGCCGCCGGACACAUCCAGGUUGCUCCGCCGCUGCCAUGUGGCGCGCCCCCACUGGCCCGGCCGCAUCUCACCGCCGCCGGCCCGGGAGAGCCCGCGCGUGGCCCCCCAAGCCCAUCGCCGCCGCGCCUCCUCUCGCCGACCCCGCCGCCUUUCUUCCCGCGGUCCGGCGCCCACCGCUCCGCCGCGCCGCCUCAUCUCUGCCUCGACGCCGGCGAGCCACCGCGCUGCCUCGACGCCGACGCCCGUCGCUCCGCCGCCGCCUCGACCCGGUCCGGCCGCCCCGCGCUCCAUCGACCUCGCCGACGUCCUCCUCCGCAGGCGCUGCGCCGCUCGACCCCUCUCCUUCCUCCUCCUCAGAACGGCAAGUCUGGUGACUCUCCGGCGAACCUCGUGAUCCGCGCACAGCUACAGUACCUCCAGAUCCAGAUCCAGACGUGGUUGACUUUUUCCUCCCGAAACCCUAGUUUUGUUUGCAUUCUUCCACAUGCCAUAACUCUGCAUUCGUAGCUCCGAUUCGUGCGUGUAGCAUAUCAAAAUGUUCGUCUCGACGAGUACAUCAUUUCAUAUCAUUGCAUUAUUUUAAUUUGAGCUCAUCUUGAUGCCCGAAAUUCUGUUGGAAGAGGGCUAUGUGAGGAAUAUGUCAGAUCUGUUUCAGCAAAUGGACUUUUGUCAUUUUUUCCAUGAUUAAUGUGUGCAUGCUAUGAUCCUGAGCCUUACAUGUGUUUUGCAGAAUGCCAUGCCAUCUUUAAAGGGGUGUAUGGCAUGCAUUUUUGUGAUAUUUGUGGUGACUAUCACAAGCACGCAAAGUAGCGUAAUCGUUGAUGCUGAUUUCAGGGACUUAGAAUUUCACUAAGUCCUUGUCCUGAUUUUGUUGUUAUGUCAUAUGUUCAUGUUGUUUCCUAGUGAUCCGUGCCUCUUUAGAGGAUGAUCAGUAAGGAUGUUUUGUUAAUAUUGUGGUGCUCUAUCCAUCCAUGUCUUUGUUUGCAUUUAUGGAGCAAGCUAGCUUGAGUAAAUCGAGCUCUACUUUUGCUAUAAAAUGAUCCUGGCAGAUAGUUGACAUGUUUAGCGAUUUUGUCGAGGAUGUUGCUAUUGAUCCAUGCAUGAUAUGUUGUUGUUAUUGCCAUGUCUAGCUUCUAUGCCAUAUCUUCUUGAUGGGUGUAUGCUUAGUUUGUCAUGCCAUGCCUCGUAGUGAGUGCAUCGAGCUUGUAUACAUGCCUACUUGUUAACUGUUUUGCAUGCACCAAUUUUUCACUAAGUCUGAAUCUGUUUAUGUUUUUGCUAUGUUCACAUGCUUUCAAUUGUAUUUUCUAAUCCCUUUUGGCUCAAGGUCACUAAGGGACUUUUGUUAUAUGCUUAGAGUAGCUUCAUGCCAUGCCUUUCUUUGCCAUGAUAUGUUACUGUAGCAUGUAGUUUUCAUGCUCUAAAGUGUGUUUCCUGAUGAUAAAUUCUAGACUUGUGUUAAUUUCACCAAGUUUGAAACCUGUUAUCAUUUGCACUUUUGCCAUGCUUGUUUGAACCUGUUAAUGGAUAAAUUAGCCGUAUCUCAGUGUUUAUCUUUUUUCAAGCUUCAUGAGUCGAUCCCUUCCAUGUAUUUUGUUGUCAUGUUUGAGUGUUGUAGCAUAUUUAUCUUGAUGCAUUUAGAUGGCUACUUGCUGAUUAUCGCAGACCGGUGUCAUAUUUGUUUUGCUUGUCAUUUCCAAACCGUGCAUCCGAUUCUGGUGAUCUUUAUAUCGAUUUCAACCGAAAUCACCUCACCUUUCCAGUGGCACUCUUGGAUUUCCAAGUUGAGGCCAGGUUCAAUCAUUCCUUUCCAAAUCUUGCAUAUGCAUCACAUACCGCAUCCCGCAUAUCAUACCAUGUUUGCAUCAUGUUGUUUGAGCAUUGCACGUGGUUGAUUGUGUUCCUUUUGCUUGUUGUUCUUGUUUGGGUAGAGCCGGGAGACGAGUUCGUGAAUGAGGAGCCCGUUGUGUUCGCCUACGAGGAUCAAGGCAACUCUGAGUACUUUGCAGGCAAGAUGACCAUACCCUCGAAAUCACUUCUAUCUUUGCUUGCUAGAUGCUCGCUCUUUUGCUAUGCCUAUGCUACGAUACCUACCACUUGCUUAUCAUGCCUCUCAUAUUGCCAUGACCAGCCUCUAACCCACCAUGUCCUAGCAAAUCAUUGUUUGGCUAUGUUACCGCUUUGCUCAGCCUCUCUUAUAGCGUUGCUAGUUGCAGGUGAAGCUUGGAGAUCGCUCCUUGUUGGAACAUUGUUUAUUGUUGGGAUAUCACAAUAUUAUCUUGUUUAUCUGAAUGCACCUAUAUACUUGGUAAAGGGUGGAAGGCUCGGCCUUAUGCCUAGUGUUUUGUUCCACUCUUGCCGCCCUAGUUUCCGUCAUAUCGGUGUUAUGUUCCCGGAUUUUGCGUUCCUUACACGGUUGGGUUAUAAUGGGAACCCCUUGAUAGUUCGCCUUGAAUAAAACUCUUCCAACAAUACCCAACUUUGGUUUUACCAUUCGCCACCUAGCCUUUUUCCCUUGGGUUUCGCGGACUCAAGGNNNNNNNNNNNNNNNNNNNNNNNNNNNNNNNNNNNNNNNNNNNNNNNNNNNNNNNNNNNNNNNNNNNNNNNNNNNNNNNNNNNNNNNNNNNNNNNNNNNNNNNNNNNNNNNNNNNNNNNNNNNNNNNNNNNNNNNNNNNNNNNNNNNNNNNNNNNNNNNNNNNNNNNNNNNNNNNNNNNNNNNNNNNNNNNNNNNNNNNNNNNNNNNNNNNNNNNNNNNNNNNNNNNNNNNNNNNNNNNNNNNNNNNNNNNNUAAACGAUGUCCGGGGCUACCAGGGGCAACUCUGGGCUGGCCUACCCGACGUCUGGCUCAUCUGAGUGUGCCCUGAGAACGAGAUAUGUGCAGCUCCUAUCGGGAUUUGUCGGCACAUUCGGGCGGUGUUGCUGGUUUAGUUUUACCAUUGUCGAGGAUGUCUUGUAACCGGGAUGCCGAGUCUGAUCGGAUUGUCUUGGGAGAAGGAAUAUCCUUCGUUGACCGUGAGAGCUUCUGAUGGGCUAAGAUGGUACUCCCCUGCAGGGAUUUGAACUUUUGAAAGCCGUGCCUGCGGUUAUGGGCAGAUGGGAAUUUGUUAAUGUCCGGUUGUAGAUAACAUGAAACUUAACUUAAUUAAAAUGCAUCAACCGCGUGUGUAACAGUGAUGGUCUCUUCUCGGCGGAGUCCGGGAAGUGAACACGGUGUUGGAGUAAUGCUUGCCGUAGGUUGUUCUAGGAUCACUUCUUGAUCAUAGUUGUUCGACCGUGCUUUUGCCUCCUCUUCUCGCUCUCUUUUGCGAAUAUGUUAGCCACCAUAUAUGCUAGUCGCUUGCUGCAACUCCACAUCAUACCUUACCUUACCUAUAAGCUUAAAUAGUCUUGAUCGCGAGGGUGCGAGAUUGCUGAGUCCCCAUGACUCACAGUUUACUUCCAAAACCAGAUGCAGGGACCGAUGAUACCGUUCCAGAUGACAUGACCGAGCUCAAGUGGGAGUUAGAUGAAGACUCUCGUCGUUACUAUGUGUCUUUCCCAAAUGAUCAGUAGUGGUGCCCAGUUGGUGCGAUCAGGGUUUUUGUCGCAUUUGGGGGUUGAUCUUUAUUUUGGUACCGUAGUCGGACCAUGAGUGAAUUGGAUAAAUGUAAUGACUUAUUUAUGUAUUUGUGUGACGUGGCGAGUGUAAGCCAACUAUGUACCUUUCCCCUUUAUUUAUUUAUAUGGGUUGUUGUGAAGAUUACCUCACUUGCGACAUUGCUUUCAAUGCGGUUAUGCCUCUAAGUCGUGCUUCAACACGUAGGAGAUAUAGCCGCAUUGAGGGCGUUACAUCAAGGUCAAUCAAGCAGGAAGUAGGGUAUUACCUCCAUCGAGAGGGCCCGAACCUGGGUAAACAUCGUGUCCCUCGCCUCUUGUUACCAUCCGUCUUAGACGCACAGUUCGGGACCCCAUACCCGAGAUCCGCUGGUUUUGACACCGACAGUAGGUAUGGUGGCUGUUUUGAGGAAGGUAUAUGGUGGGUUUAUGGUACCGGCAAAAGUUGCGCGAUACUAGAGAGGCUAGCAAUGGUGGAAGGGUGAGAGUGUGUAUAAUCCAUGGACUCAACAUUAGUCAUAAAGAACUCACAUACUUAUUGCAAUAAUCUAUUAGUUAUCGAAACAAAGUAUUACGUGCAUGCUCCUAGGGGGAUAGAUUGGUAGGAAAAGACCAUCGCUCGUCCCCAACCGCCACUCAUAAGGAAGACAAUCAAUAAAUAAAUCAUGCUCCGACUUCGUCACAUAACGGUUCACCAUACGUGCAUGCUACGGGAAUCACAAAAUUCAACACAUGUAUUCCUAAAAUUCACAACUACUCAACUAGCAUGACUCUAAUAUCACCAUCUCCAUAUCUCAAAACAAUUAUCAAAUAUCAAACUUCUCAUAGUAUUCAAUGCACUUCUAUGAAAGUUUUUAUAUUAUUCCUAAAAUAAAAUUUCCAUGUUGUUCUAAAGGACUCUCAAAAUAAUAUAAGUGAAGCAUGAGAGAUCAAUUAUUUCUAUAAAAUAAAACCACCGCCGUGCUCUAAAAUAUAUAAGUGAAGCACUAGAGCAAAAACUAUAUAGCUCAAAAGAUAUAAGUGAAGCACAUAGAGUAUUCUAAUAAUUUUCAAAUCAUGUGAGUCUCUCUCAAAAGGUGUGUACAGCAAGGAUGAUUGUGGUAAACUAAAAAUCAAAGACUCAAAUCAUACAAGAUGCUCCAAGCAAAACACAUAUCAUGUGGUGAAUAAAAAUAUAGCUCCAAGUAAAGUUACCGAUAGACGAAGACGAAAGAGGGGGUGCCUUCCGGGGCAUCCCCAAGCUUAGGCUUUUGGGUGUCCUUGAAUUUUACCUUGGGGUGCCAUGGUCAUCCCCAUGCUUAGGCUCUUGCCGUUCCUCGUUCCAUAAUCUAUCAAAACUUAACCCAAAACUUGGAAACUUCACAACACAAAACUCAAAAUAGAAAAUCUCGUGAACUCCGUUAGCGAAAGAAAACAAAACACCACUUCAAGGUACUGUAAUGAACUCAUUCUUAAUUUAUAUUGGUGUUAAAACUAAUGUAUUCCAACUUUUCUAUGGUUUAUAAACUCCUUUACUAGCCAUAGAUUCAUCAAAAUAAGCAAACAACACACGAAAAACAGAAUCUGUCAAAAACAGAACAGUCUGUAGUAAUCUGUAGCUAACGCAAACUUCUGGAACCCCAAAAAUUCUAAAAUAAAUUUCUGGACGUGAGGAAUUUAUCUAUUAAUCAUCUGCAAAAAUAAUUAACUAAAUAGCACUUUCCAAAUAAAAAUGGCAGCAAUUCUCGUGAGCGCUAAAGUUUUUGUUUUUUACAGCAAGAUCAAAAAGACUUUCCCCAAGUCUUCCCAACGGUUCUACUUGGCACAAACACUAAUUAAAUGCAAAAAACACAACCAAAACAGAGACUAGAUAAAUUAUUUAUUACUAAACAGGAGCAAAAAUCAAGGAAUAGAAAUAAAAUUGGGUUGCCUCCCAACAAGCGCUAUCGUUUAAUGCCCCUAGCUAGGCAUAAAAGCGAAGAUAGAUCUAGGUAUUGCCAUGAUAAUGAUAAGGUAAAUCACGGAAACUCAUCUCAUACUCCCUAUGUUAAGCAGCAAGUUUUCUUUGUGGCAAGCAAAAGUAAUCAAAAGGCCUAAAUUUAAUGGGAUAAAAGUCCCCAAGAUCAAGCUCGGGAGGUAUUGGUUCCUCCUUUGGCCCCUCAUAUUGCACAAUCAAUUCAUCAUUAUAAGCAUUCUUUUGGCAAAAAGUCAUGAGCCUUUGUUCAAGGGGAAAACCUAGCCCAUUGUUCUGGAUGGCAAAAUUAUCAUUAAGUUCAGAGAUCCUAUUAACAAGAGCGUCUAAGGUUUUCAUUAAAAGCAACAUGAUCUAACGAUCGUAAACGCAUAAUGUCUUCUUGAUAGAAAAUGAUCGCUUCUAUGGGAGGACGGCCAUCAUCCACCCUAUAAUGCGCAAAAAUUUCAUUGGCUUCUUUUAUUAUAAAUCUGAACUCAUGAGCUAAAAAGAUGGUAGCAGCUUGCUUAACAUAAGAAUGCUCAAUAUUAGAAAAUUCUAGGAAAAUCCUUUGUAUGGAAGGGUGCAUAUGUAAAAAUUGUCUUUCAAGUUCAACUAUGAGCAACGAUAUAGCAUCUGCGAGGCUACUAGUUUUAUGAAGAAUAGAUCCACUCAUGGUAGGCAAAGCACCGACACAAGUAAAGAAAUCUUGGAUAAUUCCCUUCCCAAUAAUAUUACCGCUACCAAUGCGAAACUUUUUAGUGUGCAAAAUAGUGGGAUUUUCAAGAGGAUCAUCAAUAGCAUCAAAGUUUUCCAUAUUACUAUCCUUACCAAUGAUAACCUCCCCAGUUUCAGACAUGAUGGCAAGAGAUUGCAAAAAGAACGAGCACACAGAAGGCAGGAAGGAAAAAGAGGCGAACGGAAAGAGAGGACGAAAGGAAAAGUGGGCGAAUAAAACGGCAAGGUUGAAGUGGGGGAGAGGAAAACGAGAGGCAAAUGGCAAAUAAUGUAAUGCGAAGGAUAAGAGUUGUGAUGGUUACUUGGUUUGUCUUGACUUGGCGUAGAUCUCCCCGGCAACGGCGCCAGAAAUCCUUCUUGCUACCUCUUGAGCACUGCGUUGGUUUUCCCUUGAAGAGGGAAGGGUGAUGCAGUAAAGCAACAUAAGUAUUUCCCUCAGUUUUCGAGAACCAAGGUAUCAAUCCAGUAGGAGACCACGCGCAAGUCACCUCGUACCUACACAAAAAAAUAAGAACCUCGCAACCAACGCGAUAAAGGGGUUGUCAAUCCCUUCACGGCCACUUGCAAGAGUGAGAUCUGAUAGAGAUAAUAAUAAUAAGAUGAAUAUUUUUGGUAUUUUUAUGAUAUAUAUUGAAAGUAAAGAUUGCAAAAUAAAAUAGAUUGGAAACUUGUAUGAUGGAAAAUAGACCCGGGGGCCAUAGGUUUCACUAGUGGCUUCUCUCUGUCGAGCAAUUGAUAGAAAAGCGAAUAAUUAUGAAAAUAUCUAGGCAUGAUCAUGUAUAUAGGCAUCACGUUCGAGACAAGUAGACCGACUCCUACCUCCAUCUACUACUAUUACUCCACACAUCGACCGCUAUCCAGCAUGCAUCUAGAGUAUUAAGUUCAUAAGAACAGAGUAACGCCUUAAGUAAGAUGACAUGAUGUAGAGGGAUAAACUCAUGCAAUAUGAUAUUAACCCCAUCUUUUUAUCCUCGAUGGCAACAAUACAAUACGUGUCGCUUCCCCUACUAUCACUGGGAUCGAGCACCGCAAGAUUGAGCCCAAAGCUAAGCACUUCUCCCAUUGCAAGAAAGAUCAAUCUAGUAGGCCAAACCAAAUUGAUAAUUCGAAGAGACUUGCAAAGAUAAACCAAUCAUACAUAAAAGAAUUCAGAGAAGAAUCAAAUAUUGUUCAUAGAUAAUCUGGAUCAUAAACCCACAAUUCAUCGGAUCUCGACAAACACACCACAAAACAAGAUUGCAUCGAAUAGAUCUCUAAGAGAAUCAAGGAGAAUUUUGUAUUGAGAUCCAAAGAGAGAGAAGAAGCCAUCUAGCUACUAGCUAUGGACCCGAAGGUCUGAAGUAAACUACUCACACAUCACCGGAGAGGCCAUGGAGUUGAUGUAGAGGCCCUCCGUGAUCAAUGCCCCCUCCGACAGAGCUCCGAAAAAGGCCCCAAGAUGGGAUCUCUUGGGUACAGAACGUUGCGGCGGUGGAAUUAGGUUUUCGUGGUGCUCCUGGAUGUUUGCGGGGUACGUGGACUUAUAUAGGAGGAAGAAGUAGGCCGGUGGAGCAACGAGGGGCCCACGAGGGUGGAGGGCGCGCCCAGGGGGUAGGCGCACCCCCCUGCCUCGUGGCCUCAUCGAUUGUUUCUUGACGCCCACUCCAAGUUUCCUGGAUCACGUUUGUUGAAAAAAUCACGUUCCCGAAGGUUUCAUUUCGUUUGGACUUCAUUUGAUAUUCCUUUUCUGCGAAACACUGAAACAGGCAAAAACAAUAAUUUGGGCUGGGCCUCCAAUUAAUAGGUUAGUCCCAAAAAUGAUAUAAAUGUGUAAAAUAAAGCUCAUUAACAUCCAAAAUAGAUAAUAUAAUAGCAUGGAGCAAUCAAAAAUUAUAGAUACAUUGGAGACGUAUCAUUAAGCGUGCGGACCCUACGGGUUCAAGAACUAUGUAGACAUGACCGAGACAUAUCUCCGGUCAAUAACCAAUAGUAGAACCUGGAUGCUCAUAUUGGUUCCUACAUAUUCUAUGAAGAUCUUUAUCGGUCAAACCGCAUAACAACAUACGUUGUUCCCUUUGUCAUCGGUAUGUUACUUGCCCGAGAUUCGAUCGUCGGUAUCAUCAUACCUAGUUAAAUCUCGUCACCGGCAAGUCUCUUUACUCGUUCCAUAAUGCAUCAUCCCGUGACUAACUCAUUAGUCACAUUGCUUGCAAGGCUCAUAGUGAUUUGCAUUACUGAGAGGGCCCAGAGAUACCUCUCCGAUACACGGAGUGACAAAUCCUAAUCUCGAUCUAUGCCAACUCAACAAACACCAUUGGAGACAUUUGUAGAGCAUCUUUAUAAUCACCCAGUUACGUUGGGACGUUUGAUAGCACACAAGGUGUUCCUCCGGUAUUCGGGAGUUGCAUAAUCUCAUAGUCUGAGGAACAUGUAUAAGUCAUGAAGAAAGCAAUAGCAGAAAAACUAAAUGAUCAUUAUGCUAAGCUAACGGAUGGGUCUUGUCCAUCACAUCAUUCUCUAAUGAUGUGACCCCGUUCACCAAAUGACAACACAUGUCUAUGGCUAGGAAACUUAACCAUCUCUGAUUAACGAGCUAGUUAAGUAGAGGCAUACUAGGGACACUCUAUUUGUCUAUGUAUCCACACAUGUACUAAGUUUCUGGUUAAUAAAAUUCUAGCAUGAAUAAUAAAUAUUUAUCAUGAUAUAAGCAAAUAUAAAUAACAACUUUAUUAUUGCCUCUAGGGCAUAUUUCAUUUACCAACGCCGUUGACAUCGAUGAAGCCUCUAUCGCCGCAUUCGACUACAAUGAAACGUAGGGCGGUGUGGAUGAUCAUGGUUGUGAGGAAGAAUUGGAGGAGAUCGAAGCGGAAGUGUAUGAGCAAUCGCAAACAAAAACUGGGAAAAGCCAGAGACCGAAGAAUUACACAAUCUUGGAAGAUCAAGUUCUGAUCAAUGCAUGGAGUGCGGUGUCUCUUGAUGCAUGCACGGGUACUUCUCAAACCGCCAAGAGGUAUUGGCAAAGGAUCGAAGAUCAAUACUUCCGCAUGAUGGCAAAGUACCCCUAUAGGACUCCACGCACAUUUUGGUCGCUUCAAGGGCGUUGGAAGGUGAUCAAGCCUAUGUGCAGCCGUUGGGCAGCUUGCUUGGAGCAAGUACACAAUGCACCUCCAAGUGGAACCGUGGAAUCCGACUAUGUGAGUUUGUUUUGCCUUUGUUCAAGUUGUGCAUCAUAUGAAAUGAUUGCAUCAUUUCACUUUGUUCACAUUGUGUAGGACAAAAUUGCCCAACAUAGAUACAAAGACAUGGAAGCUUCAGAAGGCAAAUUCUUCAAACUAAAGCAUUGUUGGGACUUGCUCAAAAAGUGCGAGAAGUGGAAGUUGAUCAAAAAAGAAUCCCCACCGAAGAGAGGUUCACUUACAAACAUGGAUGGAGAUGAGGAUGAUGAUGGCCCAAGAAAUUUGAACAAGCCCGAUGGCGACAAGAACACUACGGAGAAGAUGAAGAGAGAGCACGAAGCAUCGAGCUUGAAGGGGAAGAUUGAUGCCAUGGUGCAAUCAAAUGAGUUGAUAUUGUUGAAGUCGUUGGAGAUUAAGAAAGAGUUGGCCGAGAAGAAGUCAAAGGAGAAGUAAGAAAAGUGGCAAUUGCUCAAGAAAGAGGGGCUACGCAAAGCGGCCAUUGAGGAGAGAAGAGCACGUGCCGCUGAAAACAAAGUCAUGUCCAAGUUGAUCGCCGAAGAGAACAAGAUUAUGACAAUGAACCGCAAUGACAUGGACGACCUCACCAAAGAAUGGCAUGAUAUAGCAAGGAGAGAAAUCUUGAAAAGGAGAAUAGUUGCGUCGUCCAGUGCGUGUUACAGUGUCGGAGAUGUUUUCUCUGCUCCAUAUGGUGGCAAUGUCGAUGAUUUCGGUGCGGGGGUUGGAACAAGCGCCGGAGGUGGAUUCGGUGGUGGCGAUGAACUUCAAGAUGGAUUCGAUGGCACGGAGUGAAGAUCGACCAAGAUGAUGCCGGGCGUGGUCGUCACUUUUGCAAGACCCUCUUUUGUGUUUGUCCUACUAAACUGAAGUUUUUAUGUGCGCGUAAACUGUGUUAUGUUGUUUGAAUUUGAACUUGUUUGUGGGAACCUAUGUCAAAUUUGAGAAUUGGGCGUUUUCUAUUUGCGGGUCGACGCGGCGGUGCCCGAGCAGACCCCGCAAAAAGCCGACCCAUAAAUAAUAUAUUCCGCGAAUAUCCUUUUAUACGGGUCUGUUUAGGGGUUUGCAUCUGCGGCCGUUCGAGCUAGCCCGCAAAGGCCGUUUUCCAUGAACUGCAAAUGCGUUUUGCGGGCCGGCCGGAUGCGGGGUCUGCUAGAGAUGCUCUUACAUCUAUAUUUCUCUCAAAAAAGUCAAAUCUCAAAAGGUUGACCAAGUUUUUAGAGUAAUAGAUUUACAUCUAUAACGUCAAGCAUAUAUCAUUACAUUCAUUGUAAGUAGUUUCAUAUUCUAUAUUUUUGAUAUUGUAGAUAGAAAUAAUUUUUUCAAUAAACUUGGUCAAGGUUCCCAUUUUUUAAAAAACCUGUAACUUCAUUGAUCAUAACAAUUACAAAUACAUUGAUUUGGACUUAAAAUUCAAAAAAAUGCAAAGUAACUCCUAUGACCUUCUUCAUGGUAGCAAUCUCUGCUCAAAGAAAUACUCCAAAGACUUCAGUAAAAAGGCUACAAUUAAACUGAAGCACCGACGUUGUCACUCUUUCACGUGCACUAACAUUAACAAUAAUGAUUUUUGAAAGCGCCUUGAGUCGUCCAUCUAAACAGAUGGGGAACCUUGAUAAUGAACGUACUUGGGCCGACGAUGAUUCCGUAUAAGUGCAGGCCGUCGAGUCACUAUAUCUCCACAUGAUGUUGAUGAAAAAUUUCACCUCCACCAAGAAUCAAGUAACAAAAAAGCUUGGCACGACAACAUAAACUCGUCAGAUCCGAAUAAUUGAAUCUGCAAGGACAUAAAAUUCUCUAACCUCAUGGCACUGCCAAAAGAACAGAAUUGUUUUUCUCACAGAACUAUGAUGAUCACUAGGCAUUACAAAAAACAUAGAGAUUUCCAAGGUCCCCCACCACUCAGCGCCAAGAUGGCAGUCGGAGACGAGGAGGCCAAAAUUUCUCAGAUGGCGGCGAGAGAAACCCUAGCUAGCCAAGGGAGGAAUUGACAUAUCCUGGUCAAGGUUUCCAAAUUUGACGUUUCAAGAAAUCUACACACUAUAUUAUGAAACUAAGGUAGUAAUAAUUAAGAAAAGAAGAUAAGCCUCUUUUUUCUCUUUCCACCACCUUAGCAUUUACCAUAUUGUUUUUUUUUCUCUGGUGUAAUAUCUUAAGUCAGUAUAUCAGAUUAAGAGUACAGCUUCUGGAAAAUACAUUCACAGCGAAAAAGAUCUAUUAACAAAAAAUAAUAAUAUCAAAUGCAGGAAAUCGAUGCAAAAAUCUAAUCCUCAAUAGUCUAGGAGGAACAGGAAGAAACAAAGAAUGGAACAAGGAUGAUGGUGCACACUACGUUUACCAGCAUAGACUGAAAUUAUUCUCAACUCUCAAGAUAUAAAUUAGCUACAUGGAUCAUUCUAUUUACAAAAUUUACAGCAUCAGCUACCAUGUCGGGUUCAUCAGCCAUCACCGCAAUCUACAGCAUCACCAUGUCAAAUGCUUGCUUGCUCUGACAGGAAAACCCGAGUUAUUAUCCUCAGCACAGAGACAACCAGCAGGCCGAGCCAUCACUGACAUCAGACCAACACACAAGGAGCUAUACAUUGGGGUCAUGUCAGAACGCCGUGCACAGGUUGCUCUUCAAGUUUGAGGAGCACUCCUGCUGUAUGGGAAUGCCGGGGCUGCAAAGCCGGGUCCUUUUCGGCUCCGAUAUUCUA